rnacentral:rRNA from 1 species
AUGCCGCGUGAAUGAUGAAGGUCUUAGGAUUGUAAAAUUCUUUCACCGGGGAAGAUAAUGACGGUACCCGGAGAAGAAGCCCCGGCUAACUUCGUGCCAGCAGCCGCGGUAAUACGAAGGGGGCUAGCGUUGCUCGGAAUUACUGGGCGUAAAGGGCGCGUAGGCGGACAGUUUAGUCAGAGGUAAAAGCCCAGGGCUCAACCUUGGAACUGCCUUUGAUACUGGCUGUCUUGAGUUCGGGAGAGGUGAGUGGAAUGCCGAGUGUAGAGGUGAAAUUCGUAGAUAUUCGGCGGAACACCAGUGGCGAAGGCGACUCACUGGCCCGAUACUGACGCUGAGGCGCGAAAGCGUGGGGAGCAAACAGGAUUAGAUACCCUGGUAGUCCACGCUGUAAACGAUGAGUGCUAGUUGUCGGCAUGCAUGCAUGUCGGUGACGCAGCUAACGCAU